AGGCCGUGGUCGGCAAACUCGUGCGUGAGUCAACAGAGCCAAAUAUCAACAGUACUAUCGAAAUUUCUUUUGAGAGCCGAAAACCCUACUUCUGCGCUUGGGCCACGAAGUUUCUAUCGCACCGUACGUGUGUGCCCACAGGUGGUAUUUGGUAAAAGAGCCACACCCAAGGGGCCAAAGAGCCGCAUGUGGCUCUCGAGCCGCAGUUUGCCAACCGCGGAUCUAGGACAAGCCUUCAUUCAUAAUG